AUCUCCAGGUGCUUCUCUUCUCUACAAGCCAGUGCUAAAGAUAUAGCAUCCCGUCUGGCCUUUAAUGGGCACUCCAUGUUUGGUAAAUGACUGAAAAUGUUUCUUUUGCUUCCUAUCCUGCCUGUAUUGCUUAAGGUCAGCCAGAAUGUUCUAGAAAAAGGAGGGCAGCUGGUAAUCCAAUAACAGCUGCUAUGAUUGGCCCCAAGACAUGGGUAAUAAAAGGAAGAAAUAAGCAGAGUUUCUUUUAUACUCUCCCCUAACUGUAAUCACCACAGAAGACUUCCAGGACCUCAUCAUGGAAAUUUCUGUUUUCCCAGCAGCAAGAAAGCAA